rnacentral:rRNA from 1 species
CAGGCCUAACACAUGCAAGUCGAACGGUAAGGCUCCUUCGGGAGUACACGAGUGGCGCACGGGUGAGUAACGCGUAUGCAACCUACCCUUAACUGGGGGAUAGCCCGAAGAAAUUCGGAUUAAUACCCCAUAACACUACGAAUUCUCCUGAUUUUGUAGUUAAAACUCCGGUGGUUAAGGAUGGGCAUGCGUGACAUUAGAUAGUUGGUGAGGUAACGGCUCACCAAGUCUACGAUGUCUAGGGGGCCUGAGAGGGUGGUCCCCCACACUGGUACUGAGACACGGACCAGACUCCUACGGGAGGCAGCAGUGAGGAAUAUUGCGCAAUGGACGAAAGUCUGACGCAGCCAUGCCGCGUGCAGGAUGACGGCCCUAUGGGUUGUAAACUGCUUUUUUACAGGAAGAACUUUCCCUACGUGUAGGGAAUUGACGGUACUGUAUGAAUAAGCACCGGCUAACUCCGUGCCAGCAGCCGCGGUAAUACGGAGGGUGCAAGCGUUAUCCGGAUUUAUUGGGUUUAAAGGGUGCGUAGGCGGGAUAAUAAGUCAGUGGUGAAAUACUGCAGCUUAACUGUAGAACUGCCAUUGAUACUGUUAUUCUUGAGUGCGAUUGAGGUAGGCGGAAUGUGUAAUGUAGCGGUGAAAUGCUUAGAUAUUACACAGAACACCGAUUGCGUAGGCAGCUUACUAAGUCGUAACUGACGCUGAGGCACGAAAGCGUGGGGAUCGAACAGGAUUAGAUACCCUGGUAGUCCACGCUGUAAACGAUGAUCACUAGCUGUUGGCGAUAAACCGAUCAGCGGCAAAGCGAAAGCAUUAAGUGAUCCACCUGGGGAGUACGAUCGCAAGAUUGAAACUCAAAGGAAUUGACGGGGGCCCGCACAAGCGGAGGAACAUGUGGUUUAAUUCGAUGCAACGCGAAGAACCUUACCAGCCCUUGACAUCCUCGGAACUUUCCAGAAAUGGAUUGGUGCCUUCGGGAACCGAGUGACAGGUGCUGCAUGGCUGUCGUCAGCUCGUGUC